rnacentral:lncRNA from 1 species
UUUGUACUUUCCUAAUACUAGUAUGAGUCCGAUUAGAAUAUAGAGUCAGAUUAGGAUAGAUUUUACCAUAAGAGCUUGACAGGACAUGUAUAAAUACAUGGACAGACUAUAGCUUUGUAACGUAUCGAGUUGUAAGGGAGAAAACUAUAACUUGAGAAAAGGAGAAAUAAAGAGAUGCAUUAGAGGAUGCGAGACGCACCCUUG